AACGAACGCUGGCGGCAUGCCUAACACAUGCAAGUCGAACGAGACCUUCGGGUCUAGUUGCGCACGGGUGCGUAACGCGUGGGAACCUGCCCUUAGGUUCGGAAUAACUCCCCGAAAGAGGUGCUAAUACCGGUUAAUGUCUUCGGACCAAAGAUUUAUCGCCUUUGGAUGGGCCCGCGUUGGAUUGGCGAGUUGGUAGGGUACAAGCCUACCAAGGCGACGAUCCAUAGCUGGUCUGAGAGGAUGAUCAGCCACACUGGGAAUGAGACACGGACCAGACUCCUACGGGAGGGAGCAGGGGGGAAUAUUGGACAAUGGGCGAAAGCCUGAUCCAGCAAUGCCGCGGGAGUGAUGAAGGCCUUAGGGUUGUAAAGCUCUUUUACCCGGGAUGAUAAUGACAGUACCGGGAGAAUAAGCACCGGCUAACUCCGUG
rnacentral:rRNA from 1 species